UGGACACUGAUGAUGCAACAAAAAGUCUUCAUUUACAACAAAGGUACUUUGGGGCUGACAGACAGCCAUUGUGAAGGACACAAUCUGGCAAAAAUUUACCUGCAGAAGUGAAUGGGAGGAUAUGGGCUAUGAGGAAAAAUUCUACACACAGAUGCUCUACACACAUAGACGGCUCAAUGCUGCUAACUGGCAGAGCAGCUGGAAAACUAAAAGACAAGAAAACUAGAACAUUAAUACGGAUGACUGUAUUAUUUUUCUUCAAGGACCAGGUAAAGCAAAGACAGUGAUGAGCCCUCAGAGCAAACACAGCAGUCAGACGCAGGAUUACACACUGGACUUUAGAGUUCUUCAACAUGUGAUGUUGGACAUUUACUGUUUCUAAAGCCAAUAAUUUAUGUGGAUGCCAUUUAUAGACCUGUUAGAUUUUGUUUUAUUUUUGAGAUUAAUAAAAUUGUAUGUUUUAACAA